rnacentral:rRNA from 1 species
UACGUAGGGGGCAAGCGUUUGUCCGGAUUUAUUGGGCGUAAAGAGCUCGUAGGCGGUCUGUCGCGUCUGGUGUGAAAAUCCAGGGCUUAACCCUGGACCUGCAUCGGGUACGGGCAGACUAGAGUGCGGUAGGGGAGAUCGGAAUUCCUGGUGUAGCGGUGAAAUGCGCAGAUAUCAGGAGGAACACCGGUGGCGAAGGCGGGUCUCUGGACCGAUGACUGACGCUGAGGCGCGAAAGCGUGGGGAGCAAACAGG